UCUGCAGGUGAUAUCAUCUGAUUCACUAGGUCUGGGCUCUGAAGAUAAGCAGGUAAGGCCUAGCUCAUACUUGGAUGGAAGGCAGCAAGAGAAGACAGGAACUAGGAAGC
rnacentral:rRNA from 1 species